rnacentral:RNase_P_RNA from 2 species
AGAGCAGAGCAGAUGGUCGCCGUAGAGGUUAUCCUUUACGGAGGAAAGUCCGGACUCCGAAGGGCAGGGAGGUCGCUAACAGCGACCGGGGGUGACCCCAGGGACAGGGCAACAGAAAAAAAACCGCCCCGCAUAAUUUAAUUGUGCGAGGUAAGGGUGAAACGGUGGGGUAAGAGCCCACCGCUCUUGAUGGCGACAUCAGGAGGCUAGGCAACCCCCUCCCCGGAGCAAGACCGAAUAGGCUUUGCUUAAAGAGUUGCCCGCUCUUUUCUUAAAACAGAAGGCAAAGCGGGUAGGUCGCUUGACCCUUAUGGCAACAUAAGGGCUAGAUGAAUGACCAUCACCUGUGAAAAUUUCACAGAUACAAGAUCCGGCUUAUGACCUGCUCUGGCA